rnacentral:snoRNA from 1 species
AAGCAGGACUCAGACUACAAUAAAGCUGUUAAAUGUUGUGUUGUCAUUCCCCCUGCUCAAAAUCAAGCUGUUUCUUACCUAUACCUGUUGGCUCUGCCCCUGUAGUGGCCAGGGGUUCAUGGUCUCAUACAU